AGCAACGAAAACCAACAACUAACAUAUGAAUAAAGAGGGCUGAAACUUAAGAGAAAUGGAGCGGCAACAGAACCCAAACAGCAGCACCCAGAAUCAAACCAGAAGGAAGAAACCAAGAAUCAGCAACUUGAACUCUUAAAACCAGAGUCUUCAGCAGAAUACCAGCUCAACAAUUAUAGUUAGGCAACUAAUGUUCUAGCCCAGAAAAGUUUUUAAGGAGUUUUUAUUUUUUGAACUUUUUAGAAAUGCAGAAUAUGCUGAUAAAAAAUUU
rnacentral:lncRNA from 1 species